rfam:Hordeum vulgare subsp. vulgare, WGS project CAJW01000000 data, contig: morex_contig_136156
CAUAUACUCCUUCCGUCCCAAAAAAAAUUCUUAGAUAUAUUUAAAUAUGAAUGUAUCUAGUCAAGUUUUAGUAUUUAGAUACAUCCAUUUCAAGACAAAGCUAAGACAAAAAUUUUGGGACGGAGGGAGUAUCUA